rnacentral:sRNA from 1 species
UGCCUAACCCUCACUUGAGGUAUGGCACCAAACACCCGACCAAGAUAGAAAACUCCUCAUCAGCAGGAGCACUCUUGGUCGGGUCGUAAUCCGAAAGGGUUACGGGCAAUCGGAAACGGUUGUC